CCGAAAGGUGUUGAUAAUAACACACACAGCAGUGCAAGAAUAUAAGCAGAACAAAGUAAGAAAACAAGAGAAGGACGUGUAAACUGUAAUGUAUACGGAGAUUUUCAAAAGAGAACUCCAAUUAAUCAGUUGAGAAUUGAAGCCGUGAAUGAUUGAAGCUUCCUCCUCUUUCUUCUGUAUUUUAGUCUCUUUUCAAAUGCCCUACUGUCAGAAUCUCCAUGGUGGUCCUCUUGACAAGUCUUUAUUUUUGUGAAACGUGUGAAAUGUAAAGAAAAUGAGAAAUGUAAAGAAGAAGAAUCGAGAACAUUACCAUUUACC
rnacentral:lncRNA from 1 species